rnacentral:rRNA from 1 species
UGCGUAGGUGGUGAGGUAAGUCGGAUGUGAAAUCUCCGGGCUCAACCCGGAAAUGGCAUUGGAAACUACCUUGCUGGAGGAUUUGAGGGGGGAUUGGAAUACUUGGUGUAGCAGUGAAAUGCGUAGAUAUCAAGUGGAACACCAGUGGCGAAGGCGAAUCCCUGGAAAAUACCUGACACUGAGGCACGAAAGCUAGGGGAAGCAAACA